GCGGGAGGCGGCGGCGGUGCGGAUUCGCGGGGUGGCUUCGGGGCUCCGGGCGCGGGCCCGGCGCUGCAGGAGUUUUGGUCUCGUGCGGCCGCCAGGCCUCUCUUCUCAGUCCCAGUCUGCAGUCUGGAGGCCUGGAUGGGACCACUGUCCCCCUGGGCAGGGAGGUGUUGUGAGUGGAUCAACACUUUCGGGGCGCUGGGGAGGGGGCGUUGGGGUCCCAGUUCCUCUGGAGCAGUUGAGUUUGGUGGGAGCUGUCAAGGGAAAUAGAUUCGAGCAUGGUUGCGGUCUCAGAGAGGAAACUAUUGAGCAGACCUGCAGAGAGAGGCGGCCUGUAAUCUCCUCCUUUCUGGCUUCCCCAACACCAGACAGGUUGUGUAGGAUAGAGGUGUGGUCAGCCCCUUUGCAAGUGGGAAAGCAGAGGUUCCGAGUCACCCUGCAGCCCAAGGGGAGCACCCCUUUGGAAAUUGAACACAGCUGGUAUCUCCCGGCCAGAGACGGUCAGAGGCCAAGGAGGUGGGUGGGGAGGUAGUCCCCUAAUGCGCUGGGAUCGUCCUCUGCACAGCGUCAUUCCCAGUGGAGUCUGUGUGAGCCUAGGUGAGUCUGACUUCGGCCUUCGUCCCUGCACACGUCAGCCCUCAGGGCUGCCAAGACACAGGCCAGGCGCCCCGGGAAGCUAGGGGACCUACCCAAUCCAGCCCACCUGAGGAAGGAAGUGUGGCUUGGAGGGUAGGACAGCCCAGCGAAGCUGAGGGACCUGCCAGGGACGGGCUGGGCAUCAGGCAUUUGGAGCACAGGCAACACCCGCUGGACUGUGAUUUCUGGAGUUCUGAUUUUGUCUCUGGUUGAGUGCAGCCUUCCGCAGCUCAUAGCUAUUUUGGAACCAGGCUUCCUGAUCACUCAGCAGGGACCUUGGGGAGGGACUUUGAUGUGAUGGAAGUACCUUCCCCAAGCGGGCUUUUGUGAGGAUUUAGUGAAAUAAUGCAGUAAUAUGCUUAACUUUGAGCCUGAUGGCGCUAAGCACUCCGUUGGAGGCACUUCCAGUUUUGUUUGGCUUUGCUUUUCCUAUUACUGGUCUCUUCCCGGAGGAGGGCCUUCCAGGAAUCACAGGGCUAGACAGAGCCAAGGGGCGGCCCCUCUGGAGGGAGAGGAGGCUUGAGGUCUGCAGGAUGGUCCCUGCCGGCCCUGCGACUUCAUCUGUCCCCAUAGCCCCAUCGCUCCUUCCUCUGUGGCCUGACUUCACCCACUCCACCUUGAGUUGCGCCCCAGGACUGGAACUGUGCCCCUAGGUCUUUGCACGGCUGGCUUCUUCAGGCUGGAGUGAGGUCACUUCCUCCCAAGGCCUUCCCUGACCUCCACUGUCACCCCAGCCCCGGCCCUGCUGGGCGCACCAGUCUUUUUCUUCCCUACGUUUAGCACUGGCUCUCAGAAAAGACCUUGUUAAUGUUCUUCCAGUCUCACUGGGAGGAAGUGUGCAUUCCUGAAGGGCCUGGUCCCCAGCUCCCUGCUGUAACCUCCCAAAGUGUCUGGCACACAGUAGGUCUCAUAAAUACUUGGAAAAUGAAAUCAGGCAGGCUUGGAAGCAGGGUGGGCCCUCGUGGGGCCCAGAUCCCUGCAGGGAAGGAGGACCCCGAUCUGGAAGUCAAGGGAAAGUCCAAAGGACUGAGCUGCUUCCAGAACUCUAAUUCCCUUAGCAACCCUGGCCCUGCACGUCCCUGAGCACUGUCCCCAUGUGUAACCCAAGGUGAAAGAGUUACAGCCCUCCACCCCUGCCCCGCCACCCCCUGCCCAGCUCCUACUUUCCCGGGCUACCAUAUUGGGGCCCCACACAUCUCUCACCGAGUAGGGGUAGGACAGGCGACUCCCAUCAGGCAGAGCCCUGCGUGGCUUGUUCAGCGUGCCCUGCAAUGUGUGCGUUACACAUUUUACAACGUGACGUGGUGUAGAUCAGGGGUUGGCAAACCUUCUCUGUCAAAAGCUGGUAGCAAAUAGUUUCGGUUUUGCCAGCCAUAGUGCCUCUGUCCCACAUGGCUGUCUUUCGGUAAAAUUGGACCUAGAAAAGCUGGCAGUGGCUCAGAUUUGGUGUAGCGCUCCAGCCCCUGCUGUUGAUCACGUAUCACACCUGGGCUGCCACCUACAGAACCUGGCUUCACGGCUUCCGCAGGCACGCGGUGGCUCUCAGGAUGUGGCUCCCAAGCCACCGUGCUCCUGUGAGCACCUCCAGCCCCUCUGCAGGCAGUGGGAUCACUGAGCCUGAGAGCCCCUAUGCCUCUGAAACCUCAAAAAAGGACACGGGUCUGUUCGUUGCCUGGUCCCCCAGUUUUACUGACCCUGUGCCGCAGCCUCCCAUCUACCAGCAGCCCUAGGGCCACACUGGGGCCAGCACAGGCACUGUCUGAGGCCCAGAGGCUGCCAGGAAGCUCUGUCGCCAACAUCUUCCCAAGGCAGGCCGACCCCAAAUGAGCAGGGACGGGGCUCAGCUUUCUCCUCCCCUGUGCUAAGGGAGGGAGGUUCAUUUCCCUGGUGAGAAUGAUAAAAGAGGAUUCCCAGCUGGGUUCAGUGGCUCAUACUGUGAUCCCAGCACUUUGGGAGGAUGAGGAGGGAGGAGCGCCUGAGGCCAGGAGUUCAAGACCUGUCUAAGCAGCAUAGUGAACCCUCACCUCUUCAACAAAUUUAAAAAUUAGCCAGGCAUACUAGUGCAUGCCUCUG